AUGAACGCUGGCGGCGUGCUUAACCCAUGCAAGUCGAACGGGAAUUAUUUUAUUGAAACUUCGGUCGAUUUAAUUUAAUUCUAGUGGCGGACGGGUGAGUAACGCGUGGGUAACCUGCCUUAUACAGGGGGAUAACAGUCAGAAAUGGCUGCUAAUACCGCAUAAGCGCACAGAGCUGCAUGGCUCAGUGUGAAAAACUCCGGUGGUAUAAGAUGGACCCGCGUUGGAUUAGCUGGUUGGUGGGGUAACGGCCCACCAAGGCGACGAUCCAUAGCCGGCCUGAGAGGGUGAACGGCCACAUUGGGACUGAGACACGGCCCAGACUCCUACGGGAGGCAGCAGUGGGGAAUAUUGCACAAUGGGGGAAACCCUGAUGCAGCGACGCCGCGUGAAGGAAGAAGUAUCUCGGUAUGUAAACUUCUAUCAGCAGGGAAGAUAGUGACGGUACCUGACUAAGAAGCCCCGGCUAACUACGUG
rnacentral:rRNA from 1 species